AGCGGCGGACGGGUGAGUAACACGUGGGCAACCUGCCCUGGAGCGGGGGAUAACAUCUGGAAACAGGUGCUAAUACCGCAUGACUACUAAAACCACAUGGUUUUAGUAUAAAGAAGGCUUCGGCUUUCACUCUAGGAUGGGCCCGCGGUGCAUUAGCUAGUUGGUAAGGUAACGGCUUACCAAGGCGAUGAUGCAUAGCCGAGUUGAGAGACUGAUCGGCCACAAUGGAACUGAGACACGGUCCAUACUCC
rnacentral:rRNA from 1 species